GAUGAAGAACGUAGCGAAAUGCGAUAUGUAGUGUGAAUUGCAGAAUUCAGUGAAUCAUCGAAUCUUUGAACGCACAUUGCACCUCUCGGUAUUCCGGGAGGUAUGCCUGUUCGAGCGUCAUUUGUACCCUCAAGCUCUGCUUGGUGUUGGGUGUUUGUUCCGCCUCUGUGUGUGAACUCGCCUCAAAACAAUUGGCAGCCGGCGUACUUGUUUCGGAGCGCAGCACAUUUUGCGAUCCAGAUCAACGUACAGCGGCAUCCAAGAAGCCUUAUUUAACGCUCUUGACCUCGGAUCAGGUAGGGAUACCCGCUGAACUUAAGCAUAUCAAUAAGCGGAGGA
rnacentral:misc_RNA from 1 species